rnacentral:rRNA from 1 species
UGGGGAAUUUUGGACAAUGGGCGCAAGCCUGAUCCAGCAAUGCCGCGUGCAGGAUGAAGGCCUUCGGGUUGUAAACUGCUUUUGUACGGAACGAAACGGUCUUUUCUAAUACAGAGACUUAAUGACGGUACCUGAAGAAUAAGCACCGGCUAACUACGUGCCAGCAGCCGCGGUAAUACGUAGGGUGCAAGCGUUAAUCGGAAUUACUGGGCGUAAAGCGUGCGCAGGCGGUUAUAUAAGACAGAUGUGAAAUCCCCGGGCUCAACCUGGGAACUGCAUUUGAGACUGUAUAGCUAGAGUACGGCAGAGGGGGAUGGAAUUCCGCGUGUAGCAGUGAAAUGCGUAGAUAUGCGGAGGAACACCGAUGGCGAAGGCAAUCCCCUGGGCCUGUACUGACGCUCAUGCACGAAAGCGUGGGGAGCAAACA